AUUGAACGCUGGCGGCAGGCCUAACACAUGCAAGUCGAGCGGAUGAAGGGAGCUUGCUCCUGGAUUCAGCGGCGGACGGGUGAGUAAUGCCUAGGAAUCUGCCUGGUAGUGGGGGAUAACGUCCGGAAACGGGCGCUAAUACCGCAUACGUCCUGAGGGAGAAAGUGGGGGAUCUUCGGACCUCACGCUAUCAGAUGAGCCUAGGUCGGAUUAGCUAGUUGGUGGGGUAAAGGCCUACCAAGGCGACGAUCCGUAACUGGUCUGAGAGGAUGAUCAGUCACACUGGAACUGAGACACGGUCCAGACUCCUACGGGAGGCAGCAGUGGGGAAUAGUGGACAAUGGGCGAAAGCCUGAUCCGGCCAUGCCGCGUGUGUGAAGAAGGUCUUCGGAUUGUAAAGCACUUUAAGUUGGGAGGAAGGGCAGUAAGUUAAUACCUUGCUGUUUUGACGUUACCAACAGAAUAAGCACCGGCUAACUUCGU
rnacentral:rRNA from 1 species